UUAGAGUUUGAUCCUGGCUCAGAUUGAACGCUGGCGGCAGGCCUAACACAUGCAAGUCGAACGGUAACAGGAAGAAGCUUGCUUCUUUGCUGACGAGUGGCGGACGGGUGAGUAAUGUCUGGGAAACUGCCUGAUGGAGGGGGAUAACUACUGGAAACGGUAGCUAAUACCGCAUAACGUCGCAAGACCAAAGAGGGGGACCUUCGGGCCUCUUGCCAUCGGAUGUGCCCAGAUGGGAUUAGCUAGUAGGUGGGGUAACGGCUCACCUAGGCGACGAUCCCUAGCUGGUCUGAGAGGAUGACCAGCCACACUGGAACUGAGACACGGUCCAGACUCCUACGGGAGGCAGCAGUGGGGAAUAUUGCACAAUGGGCGCAAGCCUGAUGCAGCCAUGCCGCGUGUAUGAAGAAGGCCUUCGGGUUGUAAAGUACUUUCAGCGGGGAGGAAGGGAGUAAAGUUAAUACCUUUGCUCAUUGACGUUACCCGCAGAAGA
rnacentral:rRNA from 1 species